rnacentral:lncRNA from 1 species
CUGGCUGAGCCAAGGGCUGAACUGUUUCCUUAGCAGCGAGGAUGUUGCUGUGUUUUGGGGGAUAAAUAGUUACACCUGAAAUAAUGCUCAUAGAUUUCCAGGCAUUGAUCUAGCUUGGCUUGCAGGUCUCAGGCCUGGAAAAAAUAGGCUUGAAUGAUUAUAAAAGGUAUAAAUUUCUUUAAAUUAAUCAUUGAUUUAAUCUGCCUCUCCAGAACCUGGGAUCACCAAGCUAUUGAAUCAGGAAUAAGCUGCAGUUGCAUAAAGAACUAUUUGAAAAAUGCACAUACUCAGUACUCUGGCUUUCUGCUCUUUCUGUGAAGCACACACCAGUUCCCACUGAGAUGAGUAGGUGUUGUACAAGCCCCAGCAGCAAACAGAAAAUCUCACAGGGAAGUGCUGGUGCACUUGCAAUCCACCCAGCACCAAAUUGCACCCAUUUGAACAGGCAGGGGAGCCAGCAGAAGAUUCCUCCCAGGUCCUGUUCAUCCUUGCAGACUCUGGGCUGCCUUGUAAAGCCUCAGCCCUUGGGUGAAGACUGUUGGGCGAGAAACAAAAACGUCAGCGCCCUAAGCAGUGACAGACUGAUCAAGGACAUGUCUCCUCUUCAGACAGAAACACCAUCUGUUCAUGAUGUUGAGUCUGACAUCCCUCAAAGCGAGAUUUUCCAGGAAUCCAGACUGGAGAGAGUAAUGUGA